rnacentral:rRNA from 1 species
AAGUCGAACGGGAUCCCUGGCAGCUUGCUGCCGGGGUGAGAGUGGCGAACGGGUGAGUAAUGCGUGACCGACCUGCCCCAUGCACCGGAAUAGCUCCUGGAAACGGGUGGUAAUGCCGGAUGUUCCACAUGAGCGCAUGCGAGUGUGGGAAAGGCUUUUUGCGGCAUGGGAUGGGGUCGCGUCCUAUCAGCUUGUUGGUGGGGUAACGGCCUACCAAGGCGUUGACGGGUAGCCGGCCUGAGAGGGCGACCGGCCACAUUGGGACUGAGAUACGGCCCAGACUCCUACGGGAGGCAGCAGUGGGGAAUAUUGCACAAUGGGCGCAAGCCUGAUGCAGCGACGCCGCGUGCGGGAUGGAGGCCUUCGGGUUGUAAACCGCUUUUGUUCAAGGGCAAGGCACGGUUUCGGCCGUGUUGAGUGGAUUGUUCGAAUAAGCACCGGCUAACUACGUGCCAGCAGCCGCGGUAAUACGUAGGGUGCAAGCGUUAUCCGGAUUUAUUGGGCGUAAAGGGCUCGUAGGCGGUUCGUCGCGUCCGGUGUGAAAGUCCAUCGCUUAACGGUGGAUCCGCGCCGGGUACGGGCGGGCUUGAGUGCGGUAGGGGAGACUGGAAUUCCCGGUGUAACGGUGGAAUGUGUAGAUAUCGGGAAGAACACCAAUGGCGAAGGCAGGUUCUCUGGGCCGUUUACUGACGC